UAAAUGUUUGGGUGGUUUUAGUUAAAGCAGACACAGUUUUUUUUUUCUGUGUGAUUUUGACAAAGAUCAGAUCACAUUUGAUAGUGAGUUUAUGCAGAAAUGUGAGAAAUUCCAACCGGUUCGGAUACUUUUUCAUACCACUGUACCUGCUAAUCGAUAUUUUAGAGGGAGAACAGGAAAGGUCAGGGCAAGACAGAGCAAGGAAAGACACCCCUGAGAGUAUGACAGGGAAAAACAUUGAAAUCUUAUUAGUCUAAAGUAAUAAAAUAUUAAAAUAAAUUGAGACAGUGUCUCAUAAGAAAAAGUUUGUCAUGUUUUGUUUUGUAUAUUUUUUUUUGUUUUGUUUUUUACAGAAAAUGAGGCUGAAUUUUCUCAUUUAAAAAAGGCAAUCUACCAAGUUUAUAAGGGAAAUUAUGUUGCAUUACUGUAUACAUUUUGUUUCUUAGGAUGAAAGUCUUUUUUUUUUUUUUUUGUCUUCCAACAUAAUGUUCCCUGCAGAGAGUGCGGGAAGCCAACGUUGAUGAGGAAUAAAUGCGGGAAGGUUGGGGGUUAAUGGCGCCCAUUUUUUUCCCUUUUUUUUUUUGAUGAGUGAAGCGGCAUUAGUAUUGUUCACACGGGCACAGACUUCCUCCCUCCAUCAUGCGGCCACGGCUUGCUGCAGCGUUGCCGUGGCGACGCAAAAAAAUGCAGAAAUACUUCCGUCCUUCAGACACGAAGGAAGGAAGGAUGUAACUGUAUUUGUCGUUAAGUGCCAGAAAGGAAUAAAAAUCUUCCGUGAAGCCAUUUGCCAGGUUAAUCAGCUGCGGGUUCCUAUGGAUUUACCUGCUGCGUUACCAUGGCGACAAGCUCAUUUGUUUAUCCCCGGUUCUCCGUAUCUCACCUUCCUGCCAACCUGCCGCAAAGACCCGCCGCUCUCUAACUCUCUCGCUCACAUUCAUUUUAUUGGCAGGCAGCAUUUCCAUGGAAACAUCCUGAAACCAUGGCAACCGUUUCAAUCAAGCCAAAGGCUCUCACACAAGUGCCGUACUUUACUUCAGGCCUCUUUUGCUCUCUCUUUUUCUCCAUCACGUCCCUUGUUGGCCGAACGUGACAUCAUCAUCUUGGUAGUCGUGGUCGUCAAGUGGUCACACGCCAAAAACAUUCAAAUUAUUAUGCGGGAAACCAAGCAAAAAUGAUUCUUUGGCUUUGCAAAACUUUACUCUUGAAAAUAUUGACAUUAUUCAUGAUGUAGAGAAAAAAGUCAAGGCAAAAAUAGAGUCGACCUUCUCUAUUUACAGGUUUUUAAAUUCUCAUCAAUGAACACAUGAUGACAACACACAAUUCAUAACAAAAUAAAUUGAUGGAAUAAGAGAAAAAAGGUUUCUUUAUACAGUAUUAUUCAUAUUCUCCCUAUGCAAAGGAGCAAGUUCAUCCCAGCCUCUGGAAUUGACCCAUACGUGGUGGAAAAAUACUAACUGUAAACAAUACACUCCUAUGGCCCUCUUAUCAUACCUUUGAGGAAGAAGGUUUAAAUAUUUACAGAGAGGAGAACAGGCACUUUGGGAACAAGCCUGAUGACUAUCAAAACAGCAAUAAAUGAAUACGUAUAAUCAUAUAUGAUUAUUCGACAAUAUAUUUCUCUUCAAUGAUAAACUAAUUUUACGUGAAUAAUUUUUUUGGUCAAAAAAAAGUUUUUUCUUCCUCUGCAGAAAAUCUGAAAAGAAAAAAAUGCAACCUGGAACUAUGUAACCAGUGAAGCACAUUUGAAAGAAAAGAGUUGAUUAUUUCUUGUUACAGGAUGUUUUAUUCUUAUAACGAACAGGAGAUGAUGACAUAUAAUUCAGGAGUAAAAAAGAACAAUGAAUUUACACUUAAAGACAUACAAACAGAAAAGACAUUACAGUCCGGUACCGGGACACGGAGAGUGUGUCCUGCCUCUCAGCUCUAAAGGCCGAGUUAUACUUCCGCGUCAGACCUACGCCGUCAAGGAAGAACCGAGUUACGACCCUACGCCGUAGCCUGACGCGCGCCUCUCGAAUUUUCUAACCUUCGCGUCCCGUAGACGUGUAUGACGUGGCGAAAACGGACUGUGAUUGGUCCGCUCAGACUGUUGUUUCCGGUUUAGCGCCAAAUCACCGCCAUUGUAGAAUAGAAUUAAACAUUAUUUUCUACACGCAAAAAUGGACCAAGCCGACGGGAGUAUCAUCGAAGAGCAAGUCUCGUCAAGACAUUAUUGUGAUUGCCAAAUGGCAAGGUCGGCGAUUGAAAAAAAAAAAAUGGAAGAACCACCGAGACGUGUGUUCGGAAUCGAGUGGCCACACGAAGCGGUGACCCAGUCGGCCAAAAACUGUCGACUUUUUAUCACUUUAUGUCAUAUUUUUGGUUGGUGCACUUCAUCAUUUAUUGUGUACAUAUGUUUGCUGUGAGUCUGUGACUUAUUUACGUGUCACACUUCAAGUAUAUGAAGAAUAAAGCACAGAUUUGGUGUCAAAAGAGUUGUUUUGAUCUUUAAUUUUCAAUAACACAGUUGACACACGAUACAUCAUCACUGAUUGAGAGUGCCUCGGUGCUAUUUAUGAUAACGUUAAAAUCAAGGCUCCCAACGCAGUUUGGGAAGUUCCAUAGACGCCAGAAAUCUGCUAUGGCUUCCCACUGGCUGGUUGUAGGACACGGCAAACAAAUCGGGCUGGAGGGCUUUGCGGACCUUGAACGCAGUGUUUGACGCCAGUUUGAAGCUAGCCGCCACAGCUAGCUCUCUCCACCCGAGUCUAAAACUCUCUGUGUGGCAUCAAAAGUCGGCCAGACCGCCUCGAAACAGUCUUCUGCGUCGCCUGCCCCUCAACAUUUGUAUGUUCAAUAUUUAUUCAGUGUUGAUGAGCAGAAUAUUUACUUUCAAGAGUUCCAUCUUGCAUUGUUUAUUUUUUCUCCGACUAGCAUAAAUCAACAAGCAUGCCCCAAAACCGUACAAACAUAACGCCACAUCCCUCUAGUGACUUGGCGGUGAAUUACAGAGCAACGCGUUCCCUCACCGCAGAACUAUCGAAUGUCGAAUGACGCCGUAGUCGCUGUGCCGUCACCGCAACGCGGGAGUAUAACUCAGGCUUUACACUUCCUUACUCUUCCUACCCCCUUUGGGGAGGGUUAACUUCCCCUGAAGCAUUGCUUGGAAUGUGCAACCCCCAGCCCCUGAUCAGAUUACAUACACUGGUAAGAGGGCCUGUGUGAAUAUUGGAAGAAAAGCAAAUUGGCGGCUACCACAUAUGAUUAUUGUGAAUAAUCAGAAAUAUAAAGUUCUACACCAGGUACUCCAAUGUACAACAAUGUUAUUUUUUUUAACUCAAUUUUUGUUUUGAGUCUUGUAUUUUAGCCAAAGAAACUUUAUGAAUGUGAUAUUUCUUUCAAACAAAUCCCGAUUUUAAUAUUAUUUCAAAUAAACCCUAAAAAAAAAAAAAAAAAAAUCCCUAUAAAAGUUUUGAUGCAUUCAUUCAAAACAAGGCAAAUACAUAUGAAUGGACUUAUACAUGUGGCUAUAUAGCUAACUGCUAAUCUUUAGUCUCUUCAGUAUGUUGACAUAAUGUAUUAAAACAAUAAAACAACAGUAGCAACAAGUAGAACAGCAGGUAGAGCAAUUUCAAUAAAAGAUACUUUUCAAGAAAGAAAACAAGGGCAAUUGUUAAGGCCCCUGCUCCCUGGGUGUUCUUCCUCCUGCUUGUAUGUGUCUUAAUUGCAGUAUUGGACAGAUGGGUGAGCCUGAGACCAGGUGCAGUCGAUCAUCAUGAACAGCCUACUUAAGUCAGUCCCCGGCCUGACUUCGUCACUGGAUCAACAACUCUACUCCACGGAUCCUGCAUUGCUCGCCUUCCUUGACUACUUACCUGUUCACUCGCCAAAUGCCCACCAGAUCAUUUGGACACAGGUUGCGUUCGUAUUAUGCAAUAGACAAGUUUCCUGAGCGAAACAUGGGCAGCGCCAUCUUGGAAAAUUUCUGCCCGAACUUCCGAUUUAGAAGGAACAACAUGAAUUGUGGUUGAAGUACGCAGCGUGUUGACAAAGUUAAAACUGCAAAAUUAAACCAGAGGACCCCACGGAAUCUCCAAAAAUGGAUUCAGCAUGACGUAGAUAAAGCUCCAGGACUUUCUGUCUUGUGCGUUUGUUCUCAUCACUUCGUUGAUCAUUCGUGGACAAUUUUUUAACAACCUGUCAGCCUGUGCUGACGUGAGGUGUAGAUGGUAAAUGGUAAAUGGUGUUAUACUUAUAUAGCGCUUUUCCACCUUUCAAGGCGCUCGUCGUCCACUUGAGUGACCAAAAUGAGGUGAAAUGACAAAUAAUAUUACUGGACAUUUACCAAACGCAGAAGGGAUGACACUGAUUUUGUUGUUAUAAGGGAAUACUACAAGAUAUGUACAUAUAAACAAAAAUAGUAUGUCAUUCUUUUUUAUUGCAGAUAUUGAUCACAAUAAAACAUUUGGACAACAUGA